AGUACUAGGCAUCAUCCUGAUCACCGAAGUUAAGCAACGUCGAGCUUGGUUAGUACCUAGAUGGGUGACCACUUGGGAAUACCAGGUGCUGUAAG